rnacentral:rRNA from 1 species
GGAUGGGAUGGAGGCAACCCUGACGCAGCGACGCCGCGUGUGUGAAGAAGGCCUGCGGGUUGUAAAGCACUUUCAGUGGGGAAGAACGGGUCCGGGCCAAUACCCCGGAUCACUGACGUUACCCACAGAAGAAGCACCGGCUAACUCCGUGCCAGCAGCCGCGGUAAUACGGAGGGUGCAAGCGUUAAUCGGAAUCACUGGGCGUAAAGCGCACGUAGGCGGCCCGUUAAGUCAGAUGUGAAACCCCUGG